UACGUAGGUGGCAAGCGUUGUCCGGAUUUACUGGGCGUAAAGAGCGCGCAGGCGGUCGUUCAAGUCGCGUGUGAAAGCCCCCGGCUCAACUGGGGAGGGUCACGCGAUACUGAUCGACUCGAAGGCAGGAGAGGGUAGUGGAAUUCCCGGUGUAGUGGUGGAAUGCGUAGAUAUCGGGAGGAACACCAGUGGCGAAGGCGGCCUGCUGGGCAGUUGCUGACACUGAGGCGCGACAGCGUGGGGAGCAAACAGG
rnacentral:rRNA from 1 species